UACAGAGAGUGCAAACGUUGUUCGGAAUUACUGGGCUUAAAGCGCACGUAGGCGGCGUCGUAAGUGUCGGGUGAAAUCCCACGGCUCACCCGUGGAACUGCCCGGCAUACUGCGACGCUAGAGUGUGGUAGGGAAGAGCGGAACUCCUGGUGGAGCGGUGAAAUGCGUAGAUAUCAGGAGGAACACCGGUGGCGAAGGCGGCUCUUUGGUCCACAACUGACGCUGAGGUGCGAAAGCCAGGGGAGCAAACGGG
rnacentral:rRNA from 1 species